CCAGGGUCUCACACCCUCCAGAAGAUGUAUGGCUGCGACGUGGGGCCGGACGGGCGCCUCCUCCGCGGGUACAAACAGUACGCCUACGACGGCGCCGAUUACCUCACCCUGAACCAAGACCUGAGUUCCUGGACCGCGGCGGACACUGCGGCUCAAAACUCUAAGCGCAAGUUUGAGGAGGGCGGUGUGACAGAGCACGUGAAGGCCUACCUGGAGGGCCGGUGUGUGGAGUGGCUGCUCAGACACCUGGAGAACGGGAAGGAGACGCUACAGCGCACGGAUCCCCCAAAGACACACGUGACCCACCAUCCCAGCCCUGAUGGGAUGUCACCCUGAGGUGCUGGGCCUUGGGCUUCUACCCUGCGGAGAUCACACUGACCUGGCAACGGGAUGGAGAGGACCAAACUCAGGACAUGGAGUUUGUGGAGACCAGGCCUUCAGGGGAUGGAACCUUCCAGAAGUGGGCGGCUGUGGUGGUGCCUUCUGGAGAGGAGCAGAGAUACACGUGCCAUGUGCAGCACGAGGGGCUGCCAGAGCCCCGCACCCUGAGAUGGGAGCCAUCUUCCCAGACCACCAUCCUCAUCGUGGGAAUCGUUACUGGCCUGUUUCUGGUUCUCCUUGGAGCUGUGGUCACUGGAGCUGUGAUGUGGAGGAAGAAGAACUCAGGUAGAAAAGGAGGGAGCUACUCUCAGGCUGCAAGUAAGUGGUGACAGUGACCAGGGCUCUGAUGUGUCUCUCACAACUUCUAAAAGUGUG